rnacentral:rRNA from 1 species
UACGUAGGGUGCAAGCGUUGUCCGGAAUUAUUGGGCGUAAAGAGCUCGUAGGCGGUCUGUCGCGUCUGCUGUGAAAACUCGGGGCUUAACCCCGGGCCUGCAGUGGGUACGGGCAGACUAGAGUGCGGUAGGGGAGACUGGAAUUCCUGGUGUAGCGGUGAAAUGCGUAGAUAUCUGGAGGAACACCGGUGGCGAAGGCGGCAUCCUGGACCAACACUGACGCUGAGGAGCGAAAGCCAGGGGAGCAAACGGG